rnacentral:lncRNA from 1 species
GGACAAGUCCUAUGUUGGACUGUAGAUGUUAUUAGAAAGACUGUGGCUCCCUUUCAUGGGUUCUUUGUUAAUUUAAAAUUUUUUAAUGGACUCAGAAGGAAAUUUAGGGACAAUUUUAUAAUUUUAGGAAUUCAGUAGGGAAUGGAGGUUAGCAAGCAGAUACAUGACCAAUAGCAGGAUUCAGAGGUAGUCAUUUUGGAGAAGUGGGCAGUUCCGAGUUUUUUGAUGAGAACGGACAGUACUUUGUCCAGUGGGUCCAUCACUCCUCUCUGAAGCCAUUUGGGAAUAGUAGUCCUGGCAUGGUGAAAGCCCAAUUUUUGAAGAAUAUAAUCAACACCUACAGGAUCAAUCUUUCUUCCAGUCCAAGAAAUUAAUCUAAAAUGGUAAUUAGAAAUGGUCAUUAUCAAGGUAUAUGAUGCAUGAAUAUUACUGCACUACCUUAAAUAUACUCUGGAUAAAACACUUUAGCAGAUAUAUUUGAA